AAAAAAAAAAAAAGAACCCUAAUGCUACCUAAAUCACUUAGCCCACAAUAGAUCAAAUAGGUCUCAACCAAACACAGCCCUAGACCACGAGAUCGAGUUUACAACUCGAUUGAAGAUCUAGCAUGGCAAACUAUCAACGCUGCACCACCUUCAGCAAAUCAUCAGUUGCCGCACCAAUAUUUUCACACAGCCGAAUUCCUCCUUUUGAUGGCAUGCAUCGACGAAGACUAGUUCAUUCCCGGUCAAAAAACCAGAAGCACAUGACACUACCACCAAAAGCUGUUGAAGUUAGGCGCACUCAUAAGAGCACACCCAAGGUACUCGAAUCCAAGGGAGAGCCAACUUGCAGCAGAAUCACAAAAUACAACAAAAAAACUAUGUACACCCCACUCAGGGGUGAGGAGAGACAAACCCACACCCGGACGGAGGAAGGGGAGGCUGUCCCUUGCUCGGAGGGACGGAGGACAGUUGCUAGACCGACAGAAACUGAGAUUAGUUCUCGGCAAAGAAGAU
rnacentral:misc_RNA from 1 species